rnacentral:sRNA from 1 species
UUCCUCUAUUCUAUAUAAACACAUAUCCAAGAUAUGUUUCUUAGUAGAUGUUGUGCCCUUUAUGACAUGACCUCACCCAAAGCUACUUAACUUCUGUUUUUCGCCUUAGUGUAUUUCUUCGUGCUUCAUGUAUAACAGUUACAGGAUCUUGACCUCCUUACCCUGAGAUAAACCCUCGUAGCAAGGCUAAGUGAAUCAGAAGCUCUGGACCUUCCUUUAGGGAAAGAGCUGGAGUUUAUGAAUAUAUACACUCCCUCUCUUCUUGUCUCAUUGUCGCUUGUCUCCAAGGAAAUUAUAAAAUGUCUUUACAUUCCAUAUUUGGAGACAGGUAGCUGUCAAUUCUUUGUCAUGACAUGAUAAGAACCCUCAUAUGGGAGCAAGAAAAAAAUCACCAAAAACGGAGGGGACUUCAAAUAUUGUAAAUUCAAGCAUAUGACCCUGAAGUCUAGAUCUGGGGAGUAUACUCUGCUUUGAGGGAUUAGGACAUUUUCUGCUUACAAGACUUCACCUCAUCAUCUUUCUCUGCUGAAAUAAUCAUAGUAACUUGGUGUGUCUGCUUCACAGAUACAGACUCUUCUGGAAGAAGCUUAGAGUUCGGGAUCACAACUUCAAAGGGAGUCAGGAGUUCUCGUUGGCCCUAUAAAACAAGGGUAUCUUCAAUGAACAGCGAUCCAGUAAAGAAUGACCACAGCAGAAGAGAUUAUAAAUUGCUGUAGAAUUAUUUUCUCCACCAGUUUCCAAACUGUUAGGAUGUUAAGAGACAAGCUGCACAGCCCUUUGACAGUUGUGAGUUCCAAAGAAAUUUCCUCCUGGAUUUAUGGAAUCUGUCUCUACCCUUCACUACGUUCAUAUGUAUAUAAGACUGUACUGCCGCGCCAAAUCAAACUUUCAACAGUCAAUUGACCUUCUCCAGUUCAAGACAAGAACCGAGCUCAAGAGAAAUGACUCCAUUCUGAUCUCAGAGUAUGAUUAUUCCCUCGGGACAGGAUGUGCCUCAUGGGAAGUUCAUGGUCAAAGCCAAUCCAGCCACAAGCGCAGAACCACAUCCAACAGUAAAGAUACUAGAAAUGGAAUUGCUAUUGUCAAAUCAUGCACCACCUUAAGGAAGUCUUGACCAAAAGCCAAAUUGAAGCCGUGGAUCCAAGCUGCCCAGUAAACAGCUAAAGAAUCUGCAUUAAAAAGACCACGAGGGAUAACAAAUCUAUGGCCAUCCAAACUUACAUGUGUCAGAAUGUCCCAUGCCACAGAAGGAACCACACAUACAUGCAAAUGCAUCUAAUUCAUAUACGUCCCUUGUGAUCAUGACUUGGGAAGGUGUUUGAGCACAAAGGAAGCAGAAGGCUAACAGACAGUGGGAUUCUGGUACAACUUACCAGAAGUCAUCACCCAUGAUGGUGUGGGAUUUUGAGGUGAUGAAGUUGUCUCAGCGUCACCCAUGCUCCUGUAAGUAACCUCUCCACCAUGCUUUUAAAUAAGUCCAUCAUGCUGGAUUUUGGCA